rnacentral:rRNA from 1 species
AUUGAACGCUGGCGGCAUGCUUUACACAUGCAAGUCGAACGGCAGCGCGGGCUUCGGCCUGGCGGCGAGUGGCGAACGGGUGAGUAAUGCAUCGGAACGUGCCCAGCAGUGGGGGAUAGCCCGGCGAAAGCCGGAUUAAUACCGCAUACGACCUGCGGGUGAAAGCGGGGGACCGAAAGGCCUCGCGCUAUUGGAGCGGCCGAUGUCGGAUUAGCUAGUUGGUGGGGUAAAGGCUUACCAAGGCGACGAUCCGUAGCUGGUCUGAGAGGACGACCAGCCACACUAGGACUGAGACACGGCCCAGACUCCUACGGGAGGCAGCAGUGGGGAAUUUUGGACAAUGGGGGCAACCCUGAUCCAGCCAUGCCGCGUGCGGGAAGAAGGCCUUCGGGUUGUAAACCGCUUUUGUUCGGGAAGAAAUCCUCUGGGCUAAUACCCCGGGGGGAUGACGGUACCGGAAGAAUAAGCACCGGCUAACUACGUG